AUACGGAGGGUGCAAGCGUUACUGGGAAUCACUGGGCGUAAAGCGCGCGCAGGCGGCUAUUUAAGUUGGAUGAGAAAGCCUACGGCUCAACCGUAGAACUGCAUCCAAAACUAUUUAGCUAGAGUGUGGGAGAGGAAGAUGGAAUUAGUUGUGUAGGGGUAAAAUCCGUAGAGAUAACUAGGAAUACCAAAAGCGAAGGCAAUCUUCUGGAACACUACUGACGCUGAGGCGCGAAAGCGUGGGGAGCAAACGGGAUUAGAUACCCUAGUAGUCC
rnacentral:rRNA from 1 species